rnacentral:rRNA from 1 species
GUCCACGCCGUAAACGUUGGGCGCUAGGUGUGGGUUCUUCCACGGAUUCCGCGCCGCAGCUAACGCAUUAAGCGCCCCGCCUGGGGAGUACGGCCGCAAGGCUAAAACUCAAAGGAAUUGACGGGGCCCGCACAAGCGGCGGAGCAUGUUGCUUAAUUCGACGCAACGCGAAGAACCUUACCAAGGCUUGACAUUGCCGGAAAACCAUCAGAGAUGGUGGGUCCUUUUUGGGCCGGUGACAGGUGGUGCAUGGCUGUCGU